CACGUAGGGUGCGAGCGUUGUCCGGAAUUAUUGGGCGUAAAGAGCUCGUAGGCGGUUUGUCGCGUCUGCUGUGAAAACUGGAGGCUCAACCUCCAGCCUGCAGUGGGUACGGGCAGACUAGAGUGCGGUAGGGGAGAUUGGAAUUCCUGGUGUAGCGGUGGAAUGCGCAGAUAUCAGGAGGAACACCGAUGGCGAAGGCAGAUCUCUGGGCCGUAACUGACGCUGAGGAGCGAAAGCAUGGGGAGCGAACAGG
rnacentral:rRNA from 1 species